rnacentral:tRNA from 1 species
GAGAAUAUCCUUGGUUUGCUAAGCCUUAGGAUUCGUGGUUUAACUCCAUGAAGAGCUCG